rnacentral:rRNA from 1 species
GACGAACGCUGGCGGCGUGCUUAACACAUGCAAGUCGAACGGUGAAGCUCCAGCUUGCUGGAGUGGAUCAGUGGCGAACGGGUGAGUAACACGUGAGCAGCCUGCCCCUGACUCUGGAAUAAGCGCUGGAAACGGCGUCUAAUACUGGAUACGAGAAGGGCCCGCAUGGGCACUUUCUGGAAAGUUUUUCGGUUGGGGAUGGGCUCGCGGCCUAUCAGCUUGUUGGUGAGGUAAUGGCUCACCAAGGCGACGACGGGUAGCCGGCCUGAGAGGGCGACCGGCCACACUGGGACUGAGACACGGCCCAGACUCCUACGGGAGGCAGCAGUGGGGAAUAUUGCACAAUGGGCGAAAGCCUGAUGCAGCGACGCCGCGUGAGGGAUGACGGCCUUCGGGUUGUAAACCUCUUUCAGCAGGGAAGAAGCGAAAGUGACGGUACCUGCAGAAGAAGCACCGGCUAACUACGUG